AUUUUUUAUUAAGUUAAAGAUACUAUAAAAGUGUGAGAUAUAACUAUUGUUUUUUUAAUUCUGAGUAAUAUCAACUACAUCCAAAUAAUAACAUGCAAUUUUGUGCCUAUUUAUCAUAGUUUUUUUCUCAUUGUGAAUAUAAAUAUAAUUAAAAAUGUUUUUUGCACUUUCAUCAUCUGACUACGGAAAAUAACGCGUAGUUAAAUGAAUUUUCAAUAUGAUAUUAUAAUACAGAAAACUGUGAUGAAUUUGUAUCAUUUAUGGCUAGGCCCGAUCACGCUGACUGAAGCCAUAGGCGCGUGGGCCUCAGGCCCGGGUCAAUCGGGGUCGUACUUGCAGUCGAUAUG